UACGUAGGGCGCAAGCGUUAUCCGGAAUUAUUGGGCGUAAAGAGCUCGUAGGCGGUUUGUCGCGUCUGCCGUGAAAGUCCGGGGGCUCAACUCCGGAUCUGCGGUGGGUACGGGCAGACUAGAGUGAUGUAGGGGAGACUGGAAUUCCUGGUGUAGCGGUGAAAUGCGCAGAUAUCAGGAGGAACACCGAUGGCGAAGGCAGGUCUCUGGGCCACUACUGACGCUGAGAAGCGAAAGCAUGGGGAGCGAACAGG
rnacentral:rRNA from 1 species